AGCCCACCAGCUCCACGGCUACAAUAUGAGAUUACAAUGUAAUGUGCAGCACUGCAUGAAAAGCAACAUUUCUGGGUGAAAUCGGAUCUGCUAUAUUCCCGUGAAAUUUAAGGUGCCCGGUCGUGGGUGGGAAUUUCCCAAUUUGAUUGUGGACUCCUGUAGACUUCCGCGCAUCCGUGAUAUGCAACCAGUGAUACGGGUCACGGCACCAAUGUAACAGUAUGACUUUAGUCCGUCCCCUCACCCAUACCCGGGAUCGAACCAGAGCAAGGGGAACCACUACUUCAAGGUCUCAAAGCGAGUGACGUCACAGAUUGAAACACUACCAGCGCGCACCACCGACGCACGGUGGAGAGUGCUUGCAGAGGAUGAGAGACAUUUGGAGAGAAGUUAAUGUGGACCGGAUGAGCGAUGAGGAAGAUGGCCUGCAAAACAGCAAACCAGUGUGGUUCGUCAAGCCCCCCUACUUCCGGAAUGAGGUGCUCAUUGAACGUAGUCAAGAACAACAGAGCCCCUUGGAGAAGGACCAGAGCUACUUGGCGAGCCACACCGCACGGAUCAUGUCUGGGGAGUUUUCAACAAGGCAACCUAUAUCCCACGGACCCCUCAAAUAUCAACACUAUAGCUACCCCAAUGGAGGCUCACCCUGGACCAAGCAUUGACUCCUGUCAGUAGUGUGUUAAAAAAUAUAUUUUUUAACACUUUUGUUGAUCUUUGAAUAGGCUUGUUCAUAUUCCUCUAAAUGAGGUAUACCCCCUUUAACCCAUGUAAGCAGAGAAGUACAUCAUUCAAAAUUAAAGUGUGUUCAAAAGAAUCGAGCAGAGUACUGGCAGGAGUCAUCCAGCUUAGCCUAGGGCUAGUCUCCAUGGAUCUUACUUUAGUUUCAGGCCCUGUUUAGCCUAUGCAGAUGCUAUUACCCACUUUCUUCUAGUCAACUAAAACGUCAUCCUUCAAGAAGUGUAUUUGUGUGUUUUAUUCAAGGAACUAAAGAGUUGUUUUAGUAUAGCGAUGUCAUGAGGUGCUGGAAAAACCUUGCUUGAAUUUUAUUUCUGAAAAGGUGUCGGAACUCAGUUGUGAUAAUAAAAAAUUAUGAAAAGUA